UACGUAGGUCCCGAGCGUUGUUCGGAUUUAUUGGGCGUAAAGCGAGCGCAGGUGGUUUAUUAAGUCUGGUGUAAAGGCAGUGGCUCAACCAUUGUAUGCAUUGGAAACUGGUAGACUUGAGUGCAGGAGAGGAGAGUGGAAUUCCAUGUGUAGCGGUGAAAUGCGUAGAUAUAUGGAGGAACACCGGUGGCGAAAGCGGCUCUCUGGCCUGUAACUGACACUGAGGCUCGAAAGCGUGGGGAGCAAACAGG
rnacentral:rRNA from 1 species